GAUCAGAUGGCCGAGUGGUUAAGGCGAUGGACCGCUGAUACAUUGGGGUUUCCCCGCAUGAGUUCGAAUCUCGUCAUGAUCG
rnacentral:tRNA from 1 species